rnacentral:rRNA from 1 species
CAGUAGCCGCGGGAAUACGUAGGUGGCAAGCGUUGUCCGGAAUUAUUGGGCGUAAAGCGCGCGCAGGCGGAUCAGUUAGUCUGUCUUAAAAGUUCGGGGCUUAACCCCGUGAGGGGAUGGAGACUGCUGAUCUAGAGUAUCGGAGAGGAAAGUGGAAUUCCUAGUGUAGCGGUGAAAUGCGUAGAUAUUAGGAAGAACACCAGUGGCGAAGGCGACUUUCUGGACGAAAACUGACGCUGAGGCGCGAAAGCCGGGGGAGCGAACGGGAUUAGAUACCCCAGUAGUCCCUGUCUCUUAUACC